CCUACGGGGGGCAGCAGUAGGGAAUCUUCCACAAUGGGCGCAAGCCUGAUGGAGCAACACCGCGUGAGUGAAGAGGGGUUUCGGCUCGUAAAGCUCUUUUGUUGGGGAAGAACGUGCGUGAGAGUAACUGCUCACGCAGUGACGGUAUCCAACCAGGAAGUCACGGCUAACUACGUGCCAGCAGCCGCGGUAAUACGUAGGUGGCAAGCGUUAUUCGGAUUUAUUGGGCGUAAAGAGCACGUAGGCGGU
rnacentral:rRNA from 1 species